rfam:marine actinobacterium PHSC20C1 scf_1099646003201 genomic scaffold, whole genome shotgun sequence.
UGGGUCGGCAAGACGGUCGCGUUAUCCGCAAGGGUACCGAGGAACGUCCGGGCUCCGCAGAGCAGGAUGGUGGGUAACACCCACCCGGGGCAACCCGCGAGAACAGUGCAACAGAAAGUAGACCGCCACAGACUUCGGUCUGGGGUAAGGGUGAAACGGUGGUGUAAGAGACCACCAGCGGCCGGGGUGACUCGGUCGGCUAGGUAAACCUCGUCCGGAGCAAGAUCAGACAGAAGACGCUAAGGCUGCUCGCCAAGUCUUCGGGUAGAUCGCUAGAGGUGUGCGGCAACGUACAUCGUAGAUAGAUGACCGUCCAGCACGAAGGUUUCGGCCUCGUGUGAACAGAACCCGGCGUACUAGCCGGCCCAUUCC